UACAGAGGGUGCAAGCGUUAAUCGGAAUUACUGGGCGUAAAGCGUGCGUAGACGGUUGCGUAAGUCAGAUGUGAAAGCCCCGGGCUCAACCUGGGAAUGGCGAUGGAUACUGGCGAGCUAGAGUGUGUCAGAGGAUGGUGGAAUUCCCGGUGUAGCGGUGAAAUGCGUAGAGAUCGGGAGGAACAUCAGUGGCGAAGGCGGCCAUCUGGGACAACACUGACGCUGAAGCACGAAAGCGUGGGGAGCAAACAGG
rnacentral:rRNA from 1 species